UCAAGUAAGAGUGCUUGAAAUGUAAAUAUUCAAUUUUUAAACCAGCCAAUCUUUUGCACUUGCUGGAAGUGUUGAAUAAAGAAUAGUAAGGGGAGUUUUUUUAAUUUUGUUGCUCUUCAUGCUUAAGGUAACAUUAUAUAUGUCGUAUGAAAAUUACAGGUGCAAUUGGGAAACUUACCCAGAGUCCAUGACAAUGUGUCUGUCUAAUGAACUACCCUGGCUGUUGUGUGAGAACCAUUUUGGUUUUAUUACUGGUGGUGAUACUACUUUUCAACCUUGGAAGCUGUCCUCUGCCUUGGAAGAUUCAGGAGAAAGACUGGUAGCUAUAGAGCACCUAUGAUGGUAGGCAGUAUAAUAUACUGGAAAUCAUCAUGCAGUUCUUAAAUUAUACUAAGCCAGAAAUGAUGUGUGCAUGGUCAUCACUAAUCUAUAUAAUGUAAAAAGUGUACUGCAUUUCCCGCCAUUGAAUGGUAUCUUUACACUACAAGAUAGCUAUUGAGCAACUAUGGGGUCUUCUGAUCUCCUAAUAGAUGGAGAUUUGCACUCCUAACUACCAUCAGUCCUGAAAGAAGUUAAACACUUAAAUCCAUCAUAUAGUGAACACCUAAGGCUAGAUAAACAUAUUUACACCUUUAUGUAGAAAAGCUGUAAACACUCCAUUUUCUUUAUUUUUGCAAGCAUUGGAGAACCAUAGAACACACUGCAUUUAUUUAACAUCUUUGAUCAUCUCACCUGCAUUCUGCCCUCUGAUCUACCUUAGCCAAGACCACUUCUAAUGAUCUACACCUCUGAGCAACUUUGAGAUAGCAGACAUUUUUUCCAAAAGAACCUGACAUAAACAUUCAUUUCUCCUUCCUCCCUCUCCCCACCGAAAAAGAACCAGUGGGAUUUAGAAUCAUACUGAUGCAAAGUCCAGGAUUGGCAUUAUUCGGUUCUGAGUCAGCAUCAGAUUUGAUUAAUUAAACUGCUAAGGGAAAAAAACCACUUGCUAAAUUUUAUUAGAAGGCUAGGAUUCUGGGCCUUCUAGUGAUAUAGAUACUGCAACUUAACUUGUCUUGGCAGGUAACGUGAUAUUGGAUCCCAAAACUGUGACUAUCACUGUUUACAGAGAGGGUCCUUUAAAUCACUUUUAGAGCUUUUAAAAGUUUUAAAACUAAUUAAAAUGUUUCUUUCCACCAGUAACCAUAAUUGUCUAGCACAACCUGCCCUCCGCAAUAGGAGGAUAGGAAUAUUUGUAUUAACAUAGAUUUUAAAUUUUAAGAGAUUUCCAAAAAGAGUUUUAAUCUAGUAGUAUUUGGCAUGAAGGAAGCAUCUGUGCUAUGAAAGGGUAUUGACACACUUGUGAUAGUCCCCUUACCUCAGUGUUGAAUCCAGAAAGGCCAAUUCUGCCCCCACUGAAGUCAAGGGAGCAGGAGCUAUGCUGGUGUGAUUGCUAUUUUCAGUACACAUUAUUCAGGCAACAACAUUUAGUGAAAAUGUGGAAAGGAGAAGUGAAAAAGAAAAACCCCAUGGAAAUAAGUGAAGUGUGGGCCUAAUCCCCCUUCCAGCGAACUCAAUGAGAGGAAGAAGAUUGGAGGAAUCAUGUUGGACCCUCAGUUAUUUUUGUCUGUUCAAUCGUACGCUGUAAGAUUAAAAUGAACCAAUUUAGGGCCAAAUUCUGUCCUGAGUUGUAUGUGCAUUGGCUUUCACUGGGUGCACCUCUGAGGCCAGAAUUGGGCCUUACAUUUGUUUGUUUAGCUGCUGUUUGAAUUUGCAACUUAAUGCAUUUAUUAGACUGUUUUCACAGUGGACUACACUUUGCAGUACACGUCAUGCUUGUUAUGUGUCUAUCUAAAGCUCUCCAGUGUGGUGUGUUGUAAACAUUUGGGCCAGAUCCUUCAUUCUCUUUACGUUGACUUCAAUGGAAUUUUAACAGGAAACGUGGGACAAUCAUGUACUAAUUCUCUAUUCAUUAUAUUCACACACUUGUAACUUGGCUAUUUCUAAACCAAAUUUUAUUGGACCAGCCAAAGGCUUAUUACUUAGGCACAACUCAGCUGGACAUUUGCUUGAAUAAAGAGUGCAGGAUCAGGCCA
ensembl:lncRNA